rnacentral:rRNA from 1 species
CCUACGGGGGGCUGCAGUGGGGAAUAUUGGACAAUGGGCGCAAGCCUGAUCCAGCCAUGCCGCGUGAGUGAUGAAGGCCUUAGGGUUGUAAAGCUCUUUCACCCACGACGAUAAUGACGGUAGUGGGAGAAGAAGCCCCGGCUCACUUCGUGCCAGCAGCCGCGGUAAUACGAAGGGGGCUAGCGUUGUUCGGAUUUACUGGGCGUAAAGCGUACGUAGGCGGACCGUUAAGUCGGAGGUGAAAUCCUGGGGCUCAACCGCAGAACUGCCGUCGAGAGUGGCGGUCUUGAGUCCGGGAGAGGUGAGUGGAACUGCCAGUGUAGAGGUGAAAUUCGUAGAUAUUGGCAAGAACACCAGUGGCGAAGGCGGCUCACUGGCCCGGUACUGACGCUGAGGUACGAAAGCGUGGGGAGCAAACAGGAUUAGAUACCCUGGUAGUC